rnacentral:rRNA from 1 species
GAUGAACGCUGGCGGCGUGCCUAAUACAUGCAAGUCGAGCGAACGGACGAGAAGCUUGCUUCUCUGAUGUUAGCGGCGGACGGGUGAGUAACACGUGGAUAACCUACCUAUAAGACUGGGAUAACUUCGGGAAACCGGAGCUAAUACCGGAUGAUAUUUUGAACCGCAUGGUUCAAAAGUGAAAGACGGUCUUGCUGUCACUUAUAGAUGGAUCCGCGCUGCAUUAGCUAGUUGGUAAGGUAACGGCUUACCAAGGCAACGAUGCAUAGCCGACCUGAGAGGGUGAUCGGCCACACUGGAACUGAGACACGGUCCAGACUCCUACGGGAGGCAGCAGUAGGGAAUCUUCCGCAAUGGGCGAAAGCCUGACGGAGCAACGCCGCGUGAGUGAUGAAGGUCUUCGGAUCGUAAAACUCUGUUAUUAGGGAAGAACAUAUGUGUAAGUAACUGUGCACAUCUUGACGGUACCUAAUCAGAAAGCCACGGCUAACUACAUG